rnacentral:lncRNA from 10 species
AAGCAUACAUGAUUAUUUAGAAGUUACUUGUUACAAAUUUCUGCCUUUACUACAUUUUGUCAGAGAAUGAGAAACCCUGUGGUACGUUUGAGUAGGUUUGAAUCCUGAUUCUGCCUCCUGCCAUCUGUGUCAUUGUUAGCAAGUCACUGAGUCUCAGAAUCCUCACAACCAGGACAACUGGGGUCCCGGCAAGGAGACCACGUGUGGACAAACCUGUACGUUAUGCCCAGGAGCUCAACUCCGGCUGGUUUGUGCUGCAACAUCGCCGAGGACUCCACCCAACUUAUAAGCGGGACUUGCUCCAUCUGCUCCCUCUGGCCUCUCACUUGCCACUCUGGUUGCUGCCUGGGCCCCACCCGCCUGCCUUGGCUACUUCCAUUUCUGCUUGUGGACAGAGGGCAAUGCAUCCAGGAAACGUCCCAAUGUGGAAAUGCGGCUCUCACCGCCCCUGAUACAAACUAAACACAUUCUUUCCAGAAAGCCUCCCUUCCCCCUGGACACAAUGACCUAAGGGGAACAAAUAGCCAACCCAGACUCCUGGCUCCUGCGGUGACUGGCCAGAGACUCCCACAUCCUUUCCCACACCCUGUGCAGCCCACCCCCACCACCCCUCAUCCAGCAUCCUCCAGAGAGAGGGGAAGAGAGAGGAGGGGGAGCCUGGAACUUUGUAUUCCAUAUGUACAUGGGUGGAGGCAAAUCGGUGCAUCGUGGAGAGAUAGUCCCACUCCACUAGCAAAAGCCUUCCUCCAGAUAUCAGUGCAAACUCCUCAGGGCAAUCACUGGUACAAAAUCAUCUCUAGCGCAAAGUCAUAUUUCUUUUCUUCCCAUUCCCCUCAUUUUCUGAUCCCAAUUUCAUCUGCAGCUGGGAUCUAUUUAAAUUUCUAACUUCCAGGCAUAUCUAACUUUUUGUCUUUGGUGGGAAG